CCUACGGGGGGCUGCAGUAGGGAAUAUUGCUCAAUGGGGGAAACCCUGAAGCAGCAACGCCGCGUGAGUGAAGAAGUAAUUCGUUAUGUAAAGCUCUAUCAGCAGGGAAGAAAAUGACGGUACAUGAGUAAGAAGCCCCGGCUAACUACGUGCCAGCAGCCGCGGUAAUACGUAGGGGGCAAGCGUUAUCCGGAUUUACUGGGUGUAAAGGGGGCGUAGACGGCAGUGCAAGUCUGGAGUGAAAGGCGGGGGCUCAACCCCCGGACUGCUCUGGAAACUGUACGGCUGGAGUGCAGGAGAGGUAAGCGGAAUUCCUAGUGUAGCGGUGAAAUGCGUAGAUAUUAGGAGGAACACCAGUGGCGAAGGCGGCUUACUGGACUGUAACUGACGUUGAGGCUCGAAAGCGUGGGGAGCAAACAGGAUUAGAUACCCUAGUAGUC
rnacentral:rRNA from 1 species